rnacentral:rRNA from 1 species
UACGUAGGAUGCAAGCGUUGUCCGGAUUUAUUGGGCGUAAAGCGAACGUAGGCGGUUACUUAAGUUUGGUCUUAAAGACCGAGGCUCAACCUCGGGAAUGGACUGAAUACUGGGUGACUAGAGGAUGUUAGAGGAAAGUGGAAUUCCCAGUGUAGCGGUGAAAUGCGUAGAUAUUGGGAGGAACACCAGUGGCGAAAGCGGCUUUCUGGGACAUUCCUGACGCUGAGGUUCGAAAGCUCGGGGAGCAAACAGG